rnacentral:rRNA from 1 species
AUUGAACGCUGGCGGCAGGCCUAACACAUGCAAGUCGAGCGAGCGGCGGACGGGUGAGUAAUGUAUGGGGACUGCCCGAUAGAGGGGGAUAACUACUGGCAACGGUAGCUAAUACCGCCUACUAUCGGUAAACCCAUAUGGGAUUAGCUAGUUGGUGAGGUAAUGGCUCACCAAGGCGACGAUCCCUAGCUGGUCUGAGAGGCUGAUCAGCCACACUGAGACUGAGACACGGCCCAGACUCCUACGGAGGCAGCAGUGGGGAAUAUUGCACAAUGGGCGCAAGCCGGGUGCAGCCAUGCCGCGUGUAUGAAGAAGGCCCUAGGGUUGCAAAGUACUUUCAGUCGGGAGGCGUUACCGACAGAAGAAGCACCGGCUAACUCCGUGCCAGCCGCCGCGGUAAUAC